GCCGAGCUCGUCAGAUUCCCACCAUGGCCUGGGCCCCUCUGCUCCUCACGCUGCUCACUUACUGCUCAGGUUCUCUCGCCCAGUACGUGCUGACCCAGCCGCCUACAGUGUCUGUGUCUCCAGGGCAAAAUGCUCAACUCACCUGCUCAGGGAGCAGCGUUGGGAACUACUAUGUGCAGUGGUUCCAGCAGAAACCGGGCCGCGCGCCCCUACAGCUUAUCUAUCAAAAUAACAAGACACCCUCCGGAAUCCCUGAUCGAUUCUCUGGGUCCAACUCCGGGAACACAGCCACGUUAACCAUCAUUGGAGUCCAGGCACACGACGAGGCUGAUUAUUACUGUCAGGUGUGGCACAGCAGCAGUUCUUAG